rnacentral:tmRNA from 1 species
GGGGACGUAAGGCUUUCGACAGGAGUUAUUAGGUAUAGUUUGUCACAAAUCGUUUUUAAGUACGUAAAACUUAAACACAGAUAAGUGUAGAAAACAAACUAAACGCUUUUGCAGAUAAGCUAAGAGCUGUAUUCGCUACACCUCUUUAUGCUUAUCAUUAUGCAUAAGUUUGGUCAAUUAGUUUUGACCAGUGUCUACAUUCCUUAUCCCUAGUUAGGGGGUAUAGACAGUCGUUACUAGGGUAUACUAUGUUUCUUUCCUCAGUAAAGGAUCCAUAGUGAAUAUUAAUACUGAGUAGAUUAAUCUUUUUGUUAGAUUUUUUAGAUUAGUCUUACUAUAUAAAUCUAAAUAUGUUUGUACAUGGCACUAUACUUAGCUUUUGGACGUGGGUUCAAAUCCCACCGUCUCCACCA